UACGUAGGGUGCAAGCGUUGUCCGGAAUUAUUGGGCGUAAAGAGCUCGUAGGCGGUCUGUCGCGUCUGCUGUGAAAACUCAGGGCUUAACCCUGAGCUUGCAGUGGGUACGGGCAGACUAGAGUGCGGUAGGGGAGACUGGAAUUCCUGGUGUAGCGGUGAAAUGCGCAGAUAUCAGGAGGAACACCGGUGGCGAAGGCGGGUCUCUGGGCCGUAACUGACACUGAGGUGCGAAAGCUAGGGUAGCAAACGGG
rnacentral:rRNA from 1 species